rnacentral:rRNA from 1 species
UACGUAGGUGGCAAGCGUUGUCCGGAUUUACUGGGUGUAAAGGGCGUGUAGGCGGGAUUGCAAGUCAGAUGUGAAAACUGUCGGCUUAACCGGCAGCCUGCAUUUGAAACUGUGAUUCUUGAGUGAUGGAGAGGCAGGCGGAAUUCCUAGUGUAGCGGUGAAAUGCGUAGAUAUUAGGAGGAACACCAGUGGCGAAGGCGGCCUGCUGGACAUUAACUGACGCUGAGGCGCGAAAGCGUGGGGAG